CAACUAUUUAAUUUUAGAUUUAAAAAGUUUGAAGAAGAAAUCUUUAAUUGAUUUGUAAAAUCUUGACAUUUGUUUUGUGUGAAAAAAAAACCAUGUAAUGUCAAAAAUUUGAUCACAAUCCAAAUUCAGAGCUGUAUCACGCUUGAAUUUUUUGUCCAUACUUGCCCCAACUGUUCAGGGUUCGACCUCUGCGGUCGUAUAAAGCUGCGCCCUGCGGAGCACCUGGUUGCAU
rnacentral:lncRNA from 1 species